AAUAGAUGAUGCCAAUAACUUUUGAACACAGGUUUGACCAUUUGUCUUGUUCAAAAUAUUUACCUAAUUACCAUUUAUUUUGUUAUGAAUUGUUUUAUCACUAAAAGUACUUUAAGCAUAACUUAUAUCUUAUGCAUUUGCACAAAAUUUUUUGAAUAAGACGAAUGAUCAAACGUGUGUCCAAAAAUUAACGAUGUCAUCUAUU
rnacentral:pre_miRNA from 1 species